GGCACUAUGGCCGAGUGGUCUAAGGCGAUAGACUUGAAUUAUCACAAUAAUUGAUAUCUAUUCCAUUCGUGGGCGUCGGUUCGAACCCGACUGGUGUCG
rfam:Aspergillus wentii DTO 134E9 unplaced genomic scaffold ASPWEscaffold_3, whole genome shotgun sequence.